rnacentral:rRNA from 1 species
AUGCGCUGAAAACUAUCUCACUAGAGGAUUGGAGGGGAGACUGGAAUUCCUGGUGUAGCAGUGAAAUGCGUAGAUAUCAGGAGGAACACCGGUGGCGAAGGCGAGUCUCUGGACAAUUCCUGACGCUGAGGUACGAAGGCCAGGGUAGCGAAAAGGAUUAGAUACCCUUGUAGUCCUGGCAGUAAACGGUGUGCACUUGCUGUAGGAGGAUUCGACCCCUUCUGUGGCGAAGCUAACGCGUUAAGUGCACCGCCUGGGGAGUACGGUCGCAAGAUUAAAACUCAAAGAAAUUGACGGGGGCCUGCACAAGCGGUGGAGCAUGUGGUUUAAUUCGAUGAUACGCGAGGAACCUUACCAGGGCUUAAAUGUAGUGGGACAGGAGUGGAAAAUCCCUUCUUCGGACUCAUUACAAGGUGCUGCAUGGUUGUCGUCAGCUCGUGCCGUGAGGUGUCAGGUUAAGUCCCAUAACGAGCGCAACCCCUAUUGUUAGUUGCCAGCGAGUAAUGUCGGGAACUCUAGCAAGACUGCCAGUGCAAACUGUGAGGAAGGUGGGGAUGACGUCAAAUCAUCACGGCCCUUACGUCCUGGGCUACACACGUGCU